AAGCUUUUGAAGUUAUUUCCUCCUUUAGUUUUGAAAUUUUGGUUUACAAAGUAGAGUUAUUACUUUCUAAAGAAAAUAAUUUUUCGCUUAGAGCGGAAAUAUUAUUCUCAAUCUCUUUAUGAGUUUCAGAAGUAGUUACUUGGACUUGUUUAAGGUCAUUGUAUUUGCUUUGAAGACUCUGGUACUUUUCCAGCAUUUCAAAAAGACAACUUUCAAUAUCAGAACGAGAUAGAUUAGAGAAUACCUCUUCAGAAUCAAAGUCUGAUUCUGAUUCUGACAGAACC
rnacentral:lncRNA from 1 species